AUGAAGUAUAGCUAAUAAUUGAACAGGACCUUUGGUAUAAAAGUCAGGAUGUAGCUCUCAGUCCUACAUACUUCGUCUUUUUCGUCUACUACCACCCAUCAAAUUUUUAUUGAAGAAACGCCAAAAUGCCAGGUUGCAACUGCCUAACAUUUUGCAAUACGUCGUCCUGCUUUUGCAAAAACAAUCGACGAUUUUGCAACUCUACUUGCGAAUGUUGCAGUGAUGGCGAUUCGUCCUGCAGGAAUGGAGGGCGCCCGGCUCCUAAAAUGGAAAGGACCACGACUUCUACUCCGAAAGCGAAAGUAGUCAAACCCAGUCCAUCAAAGGGUGCUUGUACCAGAAAAAAAUGAGACUUUAAAUAUGUAGAUUUAUUUUGAGAAUUUUUUGACAUUUAUGUAUGAAUGUAGUUCUAACGUUUGUAUUACUGGCGGUCUUACAUAUGGGAAAUUAAAUAAAUUAAGAUAAGUGUCCUGACGAUAUUACAUAAUAAAAAAGAUGGGAAUACU